UAUCCACUGAGCCAUUCCACCUGAAAGAUACUUAAUAUUUUGUGAAUCUAUCUAUCUAUCUAUCUAUCUAUCUAUCUAUCUAUCUAUCUAUCUAUCUAUCUACCUACCUACCUACCUAUCUAUCUAUGUAUUUAUUAUCAGUGACUCGGAAUGUGCUUGGAGGGUGCAGAUGUGCAAUUGCACACAUGUGGAUCUGAAAGGAUAACUUGACAUAUUUGUUCUCUUCUUCCACAGUGGGGGAUCCAUGGAUAAACCUCAGGUUGCCAGGCCCGGUGGCAAGCUCCUUCAAUCAAUGAGCUAUCACACUUUCAGGCUCUUAUGGAGCUAGCCACGUAUUAGCGAGACCAGGUCCUAAAGAAUCAACACCCAGGUCCUCUCCACCAUCUCUCCAAGCUCCUGUUUCCUGUUUUUAAGGAACAAAUUAAAUUGUUCAGGGACAAGUGCUCCUGGUCUCUGUCUUCUCACCUAAAAUUUUUCUGGACUGCAGAGAAAGCUUCCAAGACACAGAGCCAGUUACCUCUUGUGCCAUCCACCUUGUUGCACUAACACUAAAUGAUUGUGUGCUGCGGUACAGGCAAGCGCGGGGUGGUGGCUCUCCUGAAGAGAUCAGCCUGGAAGGCAUGUGAACUUGUCAAAGACUGGGUGGAGUGACAAGAACACAGACCCUGAGCAGCCAGCCCGCUCCCCUCCCAUAGCGUGCAUGGAUUUCGUAAGUCAUCUGUUAUAAUCCCAAGCUCCACAUUAAGUAUUAUUGGUCACACAUAAGGAUCUUACUCAACAUGCCUGAAGCGAAGCGUUUUAAAAAAUGCACACAAGACAGAAGGAAUGAACCAAACUCAAAAUGUUGAGAAUGUCCGUCACACACUAAUGAGCCCAGGGUGAGCUGUUGUCAUUUCCCACAUUCCCCACCCCCCUGGUAAGAAGCCCACGGGAGCCGUACCUGUAUGUGUUCUCCGGUGUGCCUUCAGGUGAGAACUUUUUGUGUAUACUUUGUUGCACCCCUCGAAGUCACAUCUAUGGAUGCGCCUCUUCCUGGAAUCUGGAGAUUCUGAUCGUCUCUGGCGUCUUGUGCUCUCAAUGCUAAAUGGUGAGAUUGAACUGAAAAAAGAAGGAGUUGCAUUACACGAUGAGAAGCCCAGCCCUUGAUCUAGGGCCUUAAGCAGGCUAACAAAAUGGCGGUGGACUCGGUAGCCCCCAUGGGCUCCAUGAUCAUACCCACUGCUCUCAUCUCCUGGAUGUUUCUCAAUAGCUAAAGAAAGAAGUGUGGCUGUUUUGGUUUAAAGAGUUCUGGAGAAAGAGAAACAAUGUUUACAACAGCAAGCUAGGCGUGUAAUCGCAGCAUGUGAGCGGCUGAGGCAGGAGAAGCCAGAGCUGGACGCUAGUCUGGGGUACGUAAUUAAACCUGUUUCUAAACACCCAAACCCAAGCCAGUCUGAUGCAACCAAUUCCAAAAGCAAGUGGCAGCAGAGGCAGGCGAGAAGAUAGCCCUUGUCAGUGUUGAGGUAGAAGCUCAUUUCCGCAUGUCUGAAUAGUCUUUCCAAAGAAUGCCCUGGGAAGCCCCACUCUAGACAACGUCAAUACGAACUUAUUUAACGAGAGGGGUGACUGAACUGCACAGCGCACAGUUCAAAACAAUCCAGGUCAGGGUAAAAGAAUUGCUCUCGGUCCAUCAACACGGUAACUCACGGCAAGCAAUUUCUGUGCAGAGAAAUUGAUAUUUAACUUUCCUUCUUGGUGGUUUUUUUUUUUUUUCCUGGUGAUGAAUAAAGUCUUUAAAGAUUAGCUGUACUACUAUUACGAGAAGAAAAAAAAAAGACUUUAACUAUGAAGUUUGGCCUGGACUUGCGUGUUGUUUCAUUUUUAAUGCCCAGUAGAAAAACAGGAUUAGUUUGUAAUGUCAGGUAAUUCAUUUACAUGUACCUUUUCAAACCUUAAUCUCUUCUGAUUGAGACAGAAAGUGCAUGACUCAUCCUUUUAUUAGUUACCCAUGAAGUUCUCUGAAAUUACAAUGGAAUAUGACAAAGACACAGGCACCCCUGUUUCUACAAGACACAUUUACCAUGACCAACGUUUUGUCGUGUUUUUGGUUUGUUUUCCCUCCCGAUUCAGGUUUUAACCUGUUUUGAUGUUUUUGUUUUGAGGAGUCUUUAUGUGUUUGCUAUUAGCUAGUCUACAUGUUUUUAAACAUGAAAAUUCAUAUUAUUUGUGUGGGGGACGGCAAAUGAGACAGUGCCUGCUACUGAAUCUGCCAAUCUGAGCUGGGAGCAUACAGUCCACAUGGCGGAAGGGGAGAACCCACUCAUGCAUGUUUCCCUCUAGCUUCCAUGAUCCUGCCAUGGCACAGGCAUGUACGCUCAUACACCGACAUCACUCCUACCCCCUGUACACAAUAAAGGCAAACCAAAAAAGCCUUUUGAAUGGUAACUCAUCUCUUUUAAGGACUACACACAAAGAUGUCCUUUCCCCUUGUCCUUUGCCAUUGUUUCAGCCUUUCUCCUCCCCCCCAGGGAAAGCAGCUGCGGAUUUCUUUAGAUGUUUCUAAUGAAAACUGUUUUGCUACUAUGUAUCCGUGACACUGUGGUUCCAUAGGUUACAUAGGUCUCCUUACACACAGGUAUCUGCUGUGUGAUGAGCCCAUCUCCCUUAUAUCUGCCUCCUCUCAUGCCUCACUCUCCUACACACCUACGUUCAUGCCAUGUAUGCUUAAAUAUGUUACUGUAUGUAUAAUCUGAAAUCACAGGAAUUUAUAAUAUGACAGUGUGGUUUGAAACACUCUUAGUAAUGCUAUGCCAAGGUCAUAGCGUUGCAAAGUCUUCUGUCUUCACCCCAAACCCACCACCUUCUAAGCAUUAAGCAUCUGAGUUCAAUCUGCUAUGUAAUUGCUCAAGUAUGGAUUAUGGAAGUGGUUCAUCCUGCAUGUUAAAAUGCCAUCACUUAAGUGACAAACAGGGGCUGUUUCUGAUGCCACACUAUUCUCUUACUUCAGCCAACUGUUUACAACAUCUCCUUCUGGCCUAUCCCUGUUUGUUUGUUUGUUUGUUUGUUUGUUUAUUUAUUUAUUUAUUUUUUGUAGUAUAUUUUCAUAUCUACAAAUAGCAGAACAAGCAGUCAAAGCUUCAGAGAAGGUAAGAUCAAACGUAAAUGCCAUUCAUCAAGCCCCCAGCAGUUUGAUGUGAGAUCUGCGUUGGAGUGAAAGAACGUAGGCCAUGCUGCUGGCUGAGUCACGUUUUAAAGCCUUCGUUAUCAAUCAUCAUGGAUCUGUGGUUUUCCAUGUCACUGACUCAGUUGCUGGGACAGGAGUCUAUUGUGAAAAGAGUCAAAACAACACGAAAGAACAGCUCGAGUUAGUCCUCAGAGUGAUUCCAGCCCUGAGUGGGAUUCCUGUGAACAACAAGACAGUGUGUGCCCAGACGCGGUGAGAGCGAUUAAUUUCUUGAGUGUGUGACCAUGUAAAUAAAUAUAGAUUUUGGCCCAAGGAGCCUUAUAAAAGCAAGUCCUUUAUUGUGCUGUAUGAUGUUUGGCAUCUUUCACAAAUCAAGACAAUGAUGGUAUUUGUUUCCAUUAAGUUGAAAUGUAAGGUCUAUAACAAGAACACCAUUUUGUACACUAUUUUCUACACAUUAACAGAUGAAUAGUAAUGGCAACCCGUAUAAACCCAGC